UACGGAGGGUGCAAGCGUUAUCCGGAUUCACUGGGUUUAAAGGGUGCGUAGGCGGCCAACUAAGUCAUACGUGAAAUCCCUCAGCUUAACUGGGGAACUGCGUGUGAUACUGGAUGGCUUGGAUUUGGGAGAGGGAUGCGGAAUUCCAGGUGUAGCGGUGAAAUGCGUAGAUAUCUGGAGGAACACCGGUGGCGAAGGCGGCAUCCUGGACCAAUAUUGACGCUGAGGAGCGAAAGCCAGGGGAGCAAACGGG
rnacentral:rRNA from 1 species